CAAUAGCGUAUAUUAAAGUUGUUGCGGUUAAAAAGCUCGUAGUUGGAUCUCGGCGAGCAGGGGGCGGUUCGAUGUUCGUCGUUACUGCCCCAUUUGCUCGUGUGAUUGGCGGAGGCUGCGGGGUGCUCUUCGUUGAGUGUCCCGUGGUGCCGUCGGGUUUACUUUGAAAAAAUUAGAGUGCUCAAAGCAGGCUUCACACGCUUGAAUAUUCGUGCAUGGAAUAAUGGAAUAGGAACUCGUUUCUAUUUUGUUGGUUUUCGGAAAUUGGGUUAAUGAUUAAUAGGGACAAUUGGGGGCAUUAGUAUUCAGACGACAGAGGUGAAAUUCUUGGACCGUCUGAAGACUAACUACUGCGAAAGCAUUUGCCAAGAGUGUUUUCAUUAA
rnacentral:rRNA from 1 species